GAUGAACGCUAGCUACAGGCUUAACACAUGCAAGUCGAGGGGUAGCAGGGUAGCAAUACCGCUGACGACCGGCGCACGGGUGAGUAACACGUAUCCAACCUUCCCAUAACUCGGGGAUAGCCUUUCGAAAGAAAGAUUAAUACCCGAUAGUACUUUUUCAAGGCAUCUUGAGAAAGUUAAAGAUUUAUUGGUUAUGGAUGGGGAUGCGUUCCAUUAGAUAGUUGGUGAGGUAACGGCUCACCAAGUCUUCGAUGGAUAGGGGUUCUGAGAGGAAAGUCCCCCGAAUGGGUAAGGAGACACGGACCAAACUACAACGGGAUGCAGCAGUGAGGAAUAUUGGUCAAUGGGCGAGAGCCUGAACCAGCCAAGUAGCGUGAAGUAUGAAGGUCCUAUGGAUUGUAAACUUCUUUUAUAGUAGAAUAAAGUGACCUACGUGUAGGUUUUUGUAUGUAUACUAUGAAUAAGGAUCGGCUAACUCCGUGCCAGCCGCCGCGGUAAAAC
rnacentral:rRNA from 1 species